rnacentral:rRNA from 1 species
UACGUAGGUGGCAAGCGUUGUUCGGAAUUACUGGGCGUAAAGCGCGCGUAGGCGGCUCUUCAAGUCAGACGUGAAAGCCCCGGGCUUAACUCGGGAACUGCGUUUGAUACUGUCGAGCUAGAGUGUGGAAGGGGCGAUUGGAAUUCCGUGUGUAGCGGUGAAAUGCGUAGAUAUACGGAGGAACACCAGAGGCGAAGGCGGAUCGCUGGGCCAACACUGACGCUGAUGUGCGAAAGCUAGGGGAGCAAACGGG